rnacentral:lncRNA from 1 species
GUUCUACUGUGGACUGGGGGAAGAGAGACAGCUCCAAGUUUUCCAUGAAGUUUGGCAUCUUAUGUUUCCCAGUAGUGUCCCAAGUGACAUUAAGAGGCAAGCCCUGAAUAAGACAGCAUUUAGAUCUGUGACUUAGAGGUUGCCAGAACUUUUUUAUUUUUCUAAUGGACCGAUCAAAGCCAACAGUUGUAACAAGUGGUCUGACUCAGAAGAGAGCCGGAGCAGGAGGUGAAAUAAGUAUGGUGUAGCUGGUGUCCAGUGCUGGAGCACCAUCAACCACAAGGGAUUGUAUACUCACAUUAUUUACAUCAUUCUGAUUAGAGUGUGCUUAUGAACCAUUUUAUAAAGGCAAACUACAAAAGUGUCAGAGUCUCUUCCCGCAUCACUGUCAUCUUUAAUAUUAUCGUGAUUCUGGAGAUACAGGAAGCGUGAACCAAUGGAG